rnacentral:rRNA from 1 species
AGAGUUUGAUCAUGGCUCAGAUUGAACGCUGGCGGCAGGCUUAACACAUGCAAGUCGAGCGGAGAUGAGGUGCUUGCACCUUAUCUUAGCGGCGGACGGGUGAGUAAUGCUUAGGAAUCUGCCUAUUAGUGGGGGACAACAUUCCGAAAGGAAUGCUAAUACCGCAUACGUCCUACGGGAGAAAGCAGGGGAUCUUCGGACCUUGCGCUAAUAGAUGAGCCUAAGUCGGAUUAGCUAGUUGGUGGGGUAAAGGCCUACCAAGGCGACGAUCUGUAGCGGGUCUGAGAGGAUGAUCCGCCACACUGGGACUGAGACACGGCCCAGACUCCUACGGGAGGCAGCAGUGGGGAAUAUUGGACAAUGGGGGGAACCCUGAUCCAGCCAUGCCGCGUGUGUGAAGAAGGCCUUAUGGUUGUAAAGCACUUUAAGCGAGGAGGAGGCUACUGAGACUAAUACUCUUGGAUAGUGGACGUUACUCGCAGAAUAAGCACCGGCUAACUCUGUGCCAGCAGCCGCGGUAAUACAGAGGGUGCGAGCGUUAAUCGGAUUUACCGGGCGUAAAGCGUGCGUAGGCGGCUUUUUAAGUCGGAUGUGAAAUCCCCGAGCUUAACUUGGGAAUUGCAUUCGAUACUGGGAAGCUAGAGUAUGGGAGAGGAUGGUAGAAUUCCAGGUGUAGCGGUGAAAUGCGUAGAGAUCUGGAGGAAUACCGAUGGCGAAGGCAGCCAUCUGGCCUAAUACUGACGCUGAGGUACGAAAGCAUGGGGAGCAAACAGGAUUAGAUACCCCGGUAGUCC